rnacentral:rRNA from 1 species
AUUGAACGCUGGCGGCAGGCCUAACACAUGCAAGUCGAGCGGUUGACGGGAGCUUGCUCCCUGAUUCAGCGGCGGACGGGUGAGUAAUGCCUAGGAAUCUGCCUAUUAGUGGGGGACAACGCUUCGAAAGGAACGCUAAUACCGCAUACGUCCUACGGGAGAAAGCAGGGGACCUUCGGGCCUUGCGCUAAUAGAUGAGCCUAGGUCGGAUUAGCUUGUUGGUGAGGUAUGGCUCACCAAGGCGACGAUCCGUAACUGGUCUGAGAGGAUGAUCAGUCACACUGGAACUGAGACACGGUCCAGACUCCUACGGGAGGCAGCAGUGGGGAAUAUUGGACAAUGGGCGAAAGCCUGGUCCAGCCAUGCCGCGUGUGUGAAGAAGGUCUUCGGAUUGUAAAGCACUUUAAGUUGGGAGGAAGGGUUGUAGAUUAAUACUCUGCAAUUUUGACGUUACCGACAGAAUAAGCACCGGCUAACUCUGUGCCAGCAGCCGCGGUAC